UACGGAGGGUGCAAGCGUUAUCCGGAUUUACUGGGUUUAAAGGGUGCGCAGGCGGAUAUGUAAGUCAGUGGUGAAAUCUCUAGGCUUAACCUGGAAAUUGCCGUUGAUACUAUAUAUCUUGAAUGCUGCGGAGGUAAGCGGAAUAUGUCAUGUAGCGGUGAAAUGCUUAGAUAUCGGAAGGAACGCCGGUGGCGAAAGCGGCCUGCUGGACCUCUUCUGACGCUGAGGCGCGAAAGCCAGGGGAGCGAACGGG
rnacentral:rRNA from 1 species